AGGUCUUGACAUCCCGAUGAAACACCUAGAGAUAGGUGCCCUCUUCGGAGCAUUGGAGACAGGUGGUGCAUGGUUGUCGUCAGCUCGUGUCGUGAGAUGUUGGGUUAAGUCCCGCAACGAGCGCAACCCUUGGAUUUAGUUGCCAGCAUUAAGUUGGGCACUCUAGAUCGACUGCCGGUGACAAACCGGAGGAAGGCGGGGAUGACGUCAAAUCAUCAUGCCCCUUAUGACCUGGGCUACACACGUACUACAAUGGCCGGUACAACGGGAAGCGAAACCGCGAGGUGGAGCGAAUCUUUAGAAGCCGGUCUCAGUUCGGAUUGCAGGCUGCAACUCGCCUGCAUGAAGUCGGAAUUGCUAGUAAUCGCGGAUCAGCAUGCCGCGGUGAAUACGUUCCC
rnacentral:rRNA from 1 species